AGCCAAGAGAGCAGGUAUGUCAACAGAGGCUAUCAGUAUUCAGCUGGAUACACCCAGAAUUUAUUCUGAUCCCAUAAGGCCUGAAUUGCUUUUUUGCUUAUCUCCUUCUCCUUCUUUGGAAAUACUGUAGAUAUUACAUUGGGCGUUACCGGCAACUAAGACCGUCAGUUCUGUCCAUAGAUAAAACGCAGCCAACAUUGAUAUCAAUGAGAACGAUGUGCACAGAUCGAGGGCAUGGGAUGGCCCCUAAUUUGUAUCAUUAAAUUAAAAUACUGCAGUGCACAGAACUGGAAAAUGGUAUCUGGGAGUCAUUAAUAAAUAACUGGGCCAGUGGAAGGCAAGGCUAUCACCUUUCUGUCAGGGUAAUAGAGAUACUUUUCCUAAUGAAUAGCUGUAACCAUUGCCGGACAAUAAAUAUGAGAGCGUUCAGAUUUCAAGGCUUCGCUGAUGACAAAAAAAAGGGGGGGGGGGAAUACCUAGAUAUUACCAGUCACUUUUUUCCCCCCUGGGAUGGACAAAUUAUAAGGAAAGACUAAGAUUCUUUUUUCACUUAAGAAUCUCAAGGAGAAUAUAUAUAAAGCUGUAUCUGUAAGAGCAUUAUCAUUCGUCGUGCUCCUUUUCCAGAAAAAGGCGGGGGAAAUACAGAGUACAAAGAGACAGCAUUUGCUGACCUUAUUGGAUCAGAAUACAAGGUUUUGCCCCCCAAUGUCACUGGUGGCUUUGAAUAGAGAACUUUUCAUUAACAUUUUUAGAGUUUCUGGGGAUAUUCUUUUUAAGAAAUCUCAGAAAUCUGCAUUCUAAAUUAUUCUGCUGCCCCUGCUAGGUCAUGUUAGUUCCAUUGAAGCAGAACCCCUCUCUUGCUUCAGUUACACAGAAGAGCCCGUUCUCCUUUUUAAAAAUGGCAAAGCUUUAUUUUCUAAAGAGUAUAAUUCAAAAAUAAAAUAAACCCUCAGAAAAAGAGAGAAAGAGAGAGAACUGAUCAUGAAAGCACAGAGGUAUAUUAUUACAUUCCAAAGUAAGUGCCUCACAUGCCUCACCAGUGCCUCACCAGUUGUUGCCACUUAACCUUUACUCAUGUAUAUGGAUCUUGUUCAGGAUUCCCACACAAGCCCCUUUGGAAGGAACAGUGAUAGAGAACUGUACACAUGGGCUUGGUGAAUUCUCCCAUAUACAGUGGUACCUCAGGUUACAUACGCUUCAGGUUACAUACGCUUCAGGUUACAGACUCCGCUAACCCAGAAAUAGUACCUCGGGUUAAGAACUUUGCUUCAGGAUGAGAACAGAAAUCGUGCUCCGGUGGCGUGGCAGCAGCAGGAGGCCCCAUUAGCUAAAGUGGUGAUUUAGGUUAAGAACAGUUUCAGGUUAAGAAUGGACCUCCAGAAUGAAUUAAGUACUUAACCCAAGGUAUAUCCAAGGCACACUCACUCUAUGAUGCAAAAGCAGGUCUACCAUCACAUUAGGCCAAUUUUGAUGCAACUGACUGUGGACUAACGUUAUGGAUCAGUGCAUAUUCAAAUUUUUGGUUGGUUCUUUUGGGUUGUGUCUGUUGGAGAGAGAGGUUCGGAAGAGAGACCCCUACUCUCCUAUAGCAGAGUUAAGCACAAUGGUGAUCGCUACAAAGCACAUUAAAACUUGUUUAGAUUUUACACCCUCCCUCCACCACCUUUAAACAAACAUUCCCCACAAAAAUUACUUAGGCUAGAACAAAUCACAGACCCUUAGCUUUGCAAAUAAGUGAAUGUUUUCCUCAGAGAAUUUCUAGAAGUUACAGCAAACAAGCCUCCAUCUGCUGGCAUUAAAACAAAAAUAAAAAGGUUCCAAGUGAAUUAAAAAGAAAAGUACUUGGUUUCCUUACAAAAGGGAUUUUUGCAUUAGCAAAGAUGCAAGCUGUAAAAUCUCAUUUUAGAGAUAUUCACUUGGUUUUUCUUGCAGCAGGAAGCCAUUGGCUGCACGGCUCCUUGAUUGUGCCAGGAAGCACAAAGAAACAGUCUGAGAAGGUGGUGGCAGAGGCUGCAGAGAGCUUUAAGCUGUAGUCACUUACUACCUGAGCUCUGGGUUUGGGUUAACCCUUUGGGGGAUGCAACUGUAAGCCAAUAACUGUACAUUACAACAAAAUUCAAAGGUGGCUUGGUGCUCAUGAGAAGCACUUCUGCUCAUUCAAGUCAGGGCACUGCUUUUGGUUACCUAUAUCAUACUGUUUUCUGUCAACUAUUUUGCAAGCUUCUUAAUUUCAUUGAGAAAUUUCAUUGCCUUGCCUUGGUGAUACAUCAAGCCAAAGCAUACUUUCACUUCAAAAGCCAUGGUUUGCAGUGACAUCUGACUUGAAUUGAGUCUCUCAGUAAAGGUAAAGGGACCCCUGACCAUUAGGUCCAUUCGUGACCGACUCUGGGGUUGCGGCGCUCAUCUUGCUUUAUAGGCUGAGGGAGCCAGCGUGCAGCUUCUGGGUCAUGUGGCCAGCAUGACAAAGCUGCUUCUGGCGAACCAGAGCAGUGCACGGAAACACAGUUUACCUUCCCGCCGGAGCGGUACCUAUUUAUCUACUUGCACUUUGACGUGCUUUCAUACUGCUAGGUUGGCAGGAGCAGGGACCAAGCAAUGGGAGCUCACCCAGUCGCGGGGAUUCGAACCGCCGACCUUCUGAUCGGCAAGUCCUAGGCUCUGUGGUUUAACCCACAGCGCCACCUGCAUCCAGUUUCUCAGUACCCCACCUAAUUUCUCUGCUCAUGAAACAGGGUAGCCUAUGUUUUCUGUCCUGGUGUCCUUGGAGUAGGGUCAGGAUACAACUGUGAUGUGCAAUGCUUCAAAUGGCAACAUAUCAGAAUGAAGGCAUCAUGGCAGUUGCAAAACUGAACAUGGCAUUUCUACUGAAAUGUUGAUGACUGAAACAUUCCUAUGUAAGUUUUGGGGCUGUGGUUUUUGAUGGUAAUAAAUUGCCUCGUGAUUACAGAUAAAACAUACAAAAAUAGUAGCCAUACCAGAUGAGCUUAAAAAAAAUGUCAUUCCAAGGCAAUAUUUAAAAUAUGCUCUUAGAAAAAUCCCAGUGGUUGAUAUGGGAGCUUGCAUUUUGUCCCCUCAUUCAUCCUCAUUGUUCUCUCAGAUCCAAGUGUAACUUCUUGAUACUUUCACCACAUCUAUUAGUGAGCUUUAAAUGAAAAUCGUUUCAGCAAUAUUACAUUCAAUUAUAAUGGAGUUUCUAUGGAAUCAUGUAUUAUAUCCACCUGAAUACCAAAAGAAUUCAUCAUGAUUAAAGUUAUUGCAAGAAAUACCACAGGAAGGAAGAGUGAUUUGCCACUUAUUAUAAAGGGUUGCCCAUUUAGCCAUAAGUGGUCAGUCAUUAUUAAUUCAUUUGGUAUUCCCUAUAACAUUAAUCACAGAUAAUUCUUUGGGUAUUAUUAAUGAAGAUAUAACAUAGGAUUCUAUGAUUCUAAUUCCAUUGCAAUUUAGCUAUUUAUUUAAAUGUAUCAUUAAUUUCAAACACAAUCAAUCCCGAUGUCAAGAUUUUCAGUCAGACCUUUUAUGGAGUUAUUCCUGUGUUUAAAGGAAUUCAUACAUAGGUCAGUUAAACAAGGUUUCAUGUGUGUGUGUUGUUAAACUGAUUUCUUUUCAUCUUUGUCACUUGACAGCAAUCUAUUUGUGCCUCAGUGGAGGGACAGGAGAGACUUCAGUUCUGUUCACAUAUAAAGAUGAAUCGAUCCAAUUCACACUUUUUGGAAAAAUAUGAGAACUGAAACACAGCCAUCCUUUGAAAUUCUUCCAGAUUUUGUGCUGCAGUCCUGAAACCAAAUGAUGUUUACCAAAAUGCACAUAUUGGAG